rnacentral:rRNA from 1 species
UACAGAGGGUGCGAGCGUUAAUCGGAAUUACUGGGCGUAAAGCGCACGUAGGUGGCGACGUAAGUCGGGUGUGAAAUCCCCGGGCUCAACCCGGGAACUGCGUCCGAGACUGACAGGCUUGAAUCCGGGAGAGGGAUGUGGAAUUCCAGGUGUAGCGGUGAAAUGCGUAGAUAUCUGGAGGAACAUCGGUGGCGAAGGCGGCAUCCUGGACCGGUAUUGACGCUGAGGCGCGAAAGCCAGGGGAGCAAACGGG